AAAAAAAUGUAGUCCCAUCUACUUGGGAGGCUGAGGUGGGAGGAUCGCUUGAGCCCGGGAGUUCUGGGCUGUAGUGCGCUAUGCCGAUCAGGUGUCUGCACUAAGUUCGGCAUCAAUAUGGUGACCUCCCUGGAGCGGGGGACCACCAGGUGCCUAAGGAGGGGUGAACCGACCAAGGUCAGAAACGGAGCAGGUCAAAUCUCCCGUGCUGAUCAGUAGUGGGAUCACACCUGUUAAUAGCCACUGCACUCCAGCCAGCCUGGGCAACAUAGUGAGACCCCAUCCCU
rnacentral:SRP_RNA from 1 species